AUUGAACGCUGGCGGCAGGCUUAACACAUGCAAGUCGAGCGGAGCGGCGGAGGGGGGAGGAAUGCCUAGGAAUCUGCCUGGGAGUGGGGGAUAACGACCGGAAACGGGAGCUAAUACCGCAUACUAUCAGAUGAGCCUAGGGCGGAUUGGGUAGUUGGUGGGGUAAGGGCCAACCAAGGCGACGAUCCGUAACUGGUCUGAGAGGAUGAUCAGUCACACUGGAACUGAGACACGGUCCAGACUCCUACGGGAGGCAGCAGUGGGGAAUUUUGGACAAUGGGCUAAAGCCUGAUCCAGCCAUGCCGCGUGUGUGAAGAAGGUCUUCGGAUUGUAAAGCACUUUAAGUUGGGAGGCGUUACCAACAGAAUAAGCACCGGCUAACUCCGUGCCAGCAGCCGCGGUAAUAC
rnacentral:rRNA from 1 species